GACGAACGCUGGCGGCGUGCUUAACACAUGCAAGUCGAACGAAGUGGCGAACGGGUGAGUAACGCGUAAUCAACCUGCCCUUAAGAGGGGGACAACAGUUGGAAACGACUGCUAAUACCGCAUACUGAAGUAGGGGAUUGCGUCUGAUUCGCUAGUUGGAGGGGUAACGGCCCACCAAGGCGAUGAUCAGUAGCCGGUCUGAGUGGAAGAACGGACAAAAUGGGACUGGGACACGGGCCAGAAUCCUAAGGGAGGCAGCAGUGGGGAAUCUUCCGCAAUGGACGAAAGUCUGACGGAGCAACGCCGCGUGGGGGAUGACAGCCUUCGGGUUGUAAAGCUCUGUUAAUCGGGACGCGGUACCGGAAUAGAAAGCCACGGCUAACUACGUGCCAGCAGCCGCGGUAAUAC
rnacentral:rRNA from 1 species